GGACGACGCUGGCGGCGCGCCUAACACAUGCAAGUCGAACGAGCGAGAGAGAGCUUGCUUUCUCAAGCGAGUGGCGAACGGGUGAGUAACGCGUGAGGAACCUGCCUCAAAGAGGGGGGACAACAGUUGGAAAUGACUGCUAAUACCGCAUAAGCGCACAGGACCGCAUGGUCCGGUGUGAAAAAACUCCGGUGGUGUGAGAUGGACCCGCGUUUGAUUAGCUAGUUGGUGGGGUAACGGCCUACCAAGGCGACGAUCAAUAGCCGACCUGAGAGGGUGACCGGCCACAUUGGGACUGAGACACGGCCCAAACUCCUACGGGAGGCAGCAGUGGGGAAUAUUGCACAAUGGGGGAAACCCUGAUGCAGCGACGCCGCGUGAGUGAAGAAGUAUUUCGGUAUGUAAAGCUCUAUCAGCAGGGAAGAAAAUGACGGUACCUGACUAAGAAGCCCCGGCUAACUACGUG
rnacentral:rRNA from 1 species